CUCAGAUUGAACGCUGGCGGUAGGCCUAACACAUGCAAGUCGAACGCGAAAGUCCUUCGGGAUGAGUAGAGUGGCGGACGGGUGAGUAACGCGUAGGAAUCUAUCCUGUAGUGGGGGAUAACGUUUCGAAAGGAACGCUAAUACCGCAUACGCCCCAAGGGGGAAAGCGGAGGAUCUUCGGACCUCGUGCUAUAGGAGGAGCCUGCGUCGGAUUAGCUAGUUGGUGAGGUAAAGGCUCACCAAGGCGACGAUCCGUAGCUGGUCUGAGAGGAUGAUCAGCCACACCGGGACUGAGACACGGCCCAGACUCCUACGGGAGGCAGCAGUGGGGAAUAUUGGACAAUGGGCGCAAGCCUGAUCCAGCAAUGCCGCGUGUGUGAAGAAGGCCUGCGGGUUGUAAAGCACUUUCAGUGGGGAAGAACAGAUUCGGGUCAAUACCCCGGAGCCCUGACGUUACCCACAGAAGAAGCACCGGCUAACUCCGUG
rnacentral:rRNA from 1 species